UGAAUCAACACAGUCCCUACAAAAGGUGGUUUUAGGUUAAAAACUAUUAGGUACCUGUUAAUGAAAGCCUCGCUAUUCAGGAAAACCCACAAAAUAGAAAGUAGCAGAUACCAUACUUUAUAAUAAUUCUCUCACACACAUUCUAGAAUUCACUGGAAAUCAAGGUCAUUAAUCUAAAUAUAACUUUCUAUUCACAUUUACCAGAUAAGAAAAAUGAGAGUACUGUACUGUAACUAGCUUCUCGUUACAGUUAAAACUUACACACUAGUGUGAAAUCCAAGUGAUUUUCAGAUUUAAGGUUAAAAUAUACGAAAUAGAAAAAAUUAAGUCAGCUAUGCUCCCAGCUCUGCUCCUUCAGACUUAAAGGGCAAUUAUAGUCACUAAAAAAAACUACAGCUUGAUGUAGUGGUUCUGGUAUCUAUAACCUAACCCUGGAGACUGUGCAAUGAAAAUGCUACCUUUUCAGAGAAUAGGCAGUGUUUACAUUGGUGCCUAGUAACACCUCUAGUGGCUGACACUCAGACAGCCACUAGAGAUGCUGCACUGAACUCCCUUCUGUGGGAACAGGUAAAAUGUAUGAUGCAUGUUUGUUUUUCUAACAUUCUAGUAGUGUUCAGUAGUGUACUAAGUGGUGGUCCACCCCGGGUGCCGCACAUAAGGAGGGUGCCAUCAGAGCCGGACUGGCCCACUAUACAUUGGGGCUGGAAGUGAUCUCCUCUUGCCAGUCACUGAAAGUAGAGUGGCCCUAGCAGGCAGACCGAGGUAGAAGAGCUUCUGUUCCUCUCCUCGGUCUGACUGGAAGUUCUCUUAGAGAGCACAGAUUUCUUCCUGUCAGAAUGGGGAGAGAUUACAUGAGCUCCUCUACUGCUACACAAGAGGUACAGGAGAGGCUGGGGACAGGGGAAAUGGGACACAUGGAGAGGCUGGGGAAGAAGGAGGGUAGAAAUGGGACACAUGGAGAGGCUGGGGAAGAAGGAGGGGGGGUAGAAAUGGGACACAUGAAGAGGCUAGAGGGGAUGGAACACAUGAAGGGCUCAGGGGGGGAAUGGAACACAUGGAGAGGUUAUUGAGGGGGCUGAAUGGGACACAUGGUGAGGCUGUGAAGAGGGGUAAAUGAGGGGCUAGGGGGUGAAUGAGACACAUGGUGGGGCUUGGGGUUAAUAAGAUACAUGGAAGGGCUAGAGGGUUAAUGAGACACAUGCAUGGGCUAGAGGACAAACCGACACACACAGAAGGGCUGGAGGACAAAGAGACACAGAGAGGAGCACAAAGACACACAGAGGGACUGAGGGGCACACCGGCACAAAGAGGGGACUGGGGGGAGGGGAGGCACACAGAAGGGUGGGGGCGCCAAAGAGGCACAAGAAAAAAAAACACUGCUGGACUUUAAUUUUUGGACUUGUAACUGCAACCGCAAACCAUUUUAUAUCCUCACUCCUUGUCAAUCCCACAAGCCCUUCAAAUGCAUUAAACACAUUUGUUUCUUGUGCUUUGUGUCGAUCCAUAAGCUGAAACGUUCUCUUAUCCUCUGAUUAUUUUUAAUUUAGUGAAUAAGCCCUAUAGUGUUAAUUAAUACAUAAACAUUUUCUUUUACAAGUGAUACAUUUAACACUCUCUGUUGACGUAAACACUUUAAUUCAGUGUUCCAUAUUUCAUUGUGAUUUACCACUGCAUUUUAAAUGUCACAGGAAGUGCAAGAUAAACUCCACAACAGAACACAUCUGACCUUGAAGCACAACAUACUAUUAGGAGAAAAACACUUGAUUCAGAAUGAGUCAGAAAAGAACCUUUAACCCCUUAAGGACCAAACUUCUGGAAUAAAAUGGAAUCCUGAAAUGUCACACAUGUCAUGUGUCCUUAAGGGGUUAAACAAUAUUAUUAUGUCAAUGAAACUCCUACACAUACACUAUAUUCCAUCAAAUACCUAUUGGUUGAAUUUUGUAAGCUUUUUUAAUAACAUACUCACGUGACAGACAUCUUUAACACAGGGCUGGGGCAGGCAACCUUCGACAUGUCAGAUGUGUUGGACUACAUCUCCCCUGAUGCUUUAGAAGUAUUAUCAUUGUAAUAGCAUUAUGGGAGAUGUAGUCCUCAACAUCUGGAGUGCCAAAGGUGGCCUACCCCUGAUGUAGGACAUCUUGGUGGCCCAAUGACCAUUAACUCAGACAUUCACUGAGAUGGUCAUCUUUGCCACGGAUGAGCCUUUAUUUACUGUCCAUCAUUCCAUCAGUACCUUCCUCCCUCAUUCCUUCUAUUAAUUGCUUCACCCAAGUGAUCACUUUAAACUAUAUUUAAACAGAGCAAACUUUGUCUCUCCUUUUAUAACCCUCAAAGAUAGCCCCCAAUGUAAAUGAGCUCUCCUCUUUUUUUUUCCAAACUCACAGUUAAUACUCAAUUUAGUUUCCACUGAACCACCCUAUAUAUAACUUCACAUCUCCCAUUUUCAUAUAUGUAAAGUCCACCUACAGUUUAUUUCUCAAACUCCAAAAAUUUGUUUUUCUUCAUUGAACGUUCCCAUAGAGAUGUGUUCUCUGUGAAGAGAUGUUGAUUGGCUAGGGCAGAGUUUUGCACUACAUGUGCAAUAGCCUCUUAAUGCUCUCCUAUGGGUAACCAAGAUUGAUGAUCUCAGCCACGGAAGCGGGGUCAGCCACUGCGAAUGCAGUGCAGCGAUGGAGAAAAUAUAAGUAAAAUGCCAUUUUACUCCAUUCUGGAAGGACGAACACAUAAAUAGGUAGUCCAACACUAUUGUGUUCCUUUCAUCUAUAACCUGCAUGUGAUUUUGCAAGCCCAUCACGCAAGUUAACAUUUUCCACUUAGUAAAAAAGGCUAUCUUACUAUACUCAUAUGUGUGAUAGUCCAGGAUACAGUGGGACUGUGCUGGUUUUGGGCACUUGACCCACCAUUUUUCAAUCGCGUUAUUUUGUCAGCUUUGCCCUUAUCCAGACCAGACUUCCCAUUUUUCGCAACGUUAUGAUUCAAGUAAUAAUCCUACAGCUGGGACGUGUGCACUGGCCUCCAUUUUGAACAUAAAGUUAGGCACUGGCCUCCAUUUUGAAUAAAGAGUUAGUCACUGGACUCCAUUUUGAAUAUAAAGUUAGUCAAUGAAGUCCACUUUGAAUAUAAAGUUAGACACUGCGACAGUGCAAUACCCACAGGCUUAGCUACUCAGUAUAUACAGUAUAAGUGUGCUUUCGUUUGUCUGCAUAACCCUUGUGAGUGACAAUUCAGUGAGCAAAUUAAGGUUCCACUAUUUAUCCCUGCUUUGUGGAGAUUGUUGAGUAUCAGGACUGGCAUUCUCACAGGAAGAUAAAGAUGGUGCCAUCUUUAUGUGUCUAUAACACCACUAAUGAACUGAAAUGGAAACCACCGUGUAGAUUAGCAGUCCUUUGCUAAAGUAUUUACUCUGUUCCAGGCCCUGCACGUACUCUGCUUCGGAAACUGUAGGAUGAUUUAACAGACUCCCUUACCAACAAGUUUGAAGAGUGAAAAUUUUGCUAAAAGAUACAUUUAUUGCCAGAUUCAGUCCAAGCAGUUUGACAGAGAAUGACUGGCUUUUCAUCACCUGGUACAAACAGCCAGAGAGCAAGAUACAGCAUAUAGACCAAGAUUGACCAAGAAAACUGAAUGAUGGAGAAGAGAAGGAUGUAACAGAAAGGAUAUUGAGCGAUUGCGAAGAGCUAUCGAAGAAAGGUAAUGAUAUCACAAAAAAACACACAUGUAGUGUUUUCUGUAGCAUAGGCAAGGCUAUAGCUUACCACUACUGUUUCGCGAACACCUUGCUGGUUUAAAGGAAUGCGAAGGACUCUUACUGAAACAGUUAACAUAGUUUACUUUUGGAUGUUUUUAUAUGUAUAAUAUUCAUAUUCUGAAAUAUAUGCUGAUUUCCAUGAUUCUAUUGAUGAGGUUUUUUAGGGAUGAUUGAAUAUUUUUAAAUUGACAUUUGAUCAGGCAAACAAAUAUGCCACAGAAUAUGUGAUCUGAGCAAACAGUGUUUCUCUGAAUUGUUAUUGAAUGGUUUUAUUGUUAAAGUUGGCUAUUGUUGAAUGUGGUCAAUACCUGUAAUUGAAGUUGAAUGUCAAUGUGUGUUGUAUAUUUAUGGUGUAACUUAGUAACCCAUUACCAACACAAUGUUUUGUAACGUUUCAUGAAAUCGAAUGGAAUUUACAAGCAUUGUUGAUUUUCCUCAACAAUAGGUGUAAGCGUUAAAUAUACGUUUAAAUAUGUGUUUGCACAGUAUAAAGAUCUCCAGGUGACUAUGAGCUUAUUCCUUGAGGUUUUCUUGUUUAGCAACAAGGAAAAGUAUCUUCACGUUUUCUUUAUUAAAAAUCAUACUGUAAACUCAUGACAAAUCAUUUCAGAAUAAGUUGGUGAUUUGAUAAGAAAUUACCUUUUCAGUGAAAAGGUACAAAAUGCUACUAGGAGAAUAUUUAAUAUAUGCAUGGACUUUGCUAGCCAAAAGGAAGAUCCCCACCUGUUAUACCACAUUUCCUGUUAUACAUUGCAAGCUUUUAAUAAUGGACAAUUGUUAUAGGGGUAAUCGUUCUUCAACAGCUGAAUAUCUACUUUUUGGAUGACCCUGAAUUAGAUGAUUCCCCAUUUCCUCAACUACAUAUAAGCUCUGAAUGUACAAGCCACUAAGAGGAAGAGCUCUAAUUUAAUUUACUAAAAAAAAAAAGGAUGACUGACUUUUUUUUAUAACUUCUUCCAUUUCUAAAAAUCUUCUCAGCGGUAUUUCUUAGGUCAUAAACCUAUAGAAAAUAUAAAUAAUACAUUUGGCAUUUGGACACUGAGAAGGUUGUGAGGUAUGCAGUCAUUAAUUAAUUUAUAUUCUCUAGAUGUAAAUCUGUGGGGAAUGUUUUGAAAAUCACAAACACUUGUAUAAGAAAAGAGCUGGCUUAGUUUACAAUUUAGGGUGAAAUAUAAAGCUGAUUUUCUGCUAAUGUACAGACUCAUAAACAGCUAGAUAUAAAUAUGACAUUAUAGGAUUUGUAGUUGAGCUUAUUCCCGUUAAGAGGAAUAACAAGGUUGGACGUGGAGAGUUCUAUAUAUUUUACUCAUCUGAAAUAUGUAUAUUCGCACUGACAGCAACAAUGUUAAAAGCCAUUUACUGCUGUGAAUGCCAAGCAAUACUUGGCAACGAACAAUAGCUUAACGACCAUAUUUGGGAUGUUCUAGCUUCCAGAAUAUAUCUUACUAUAUAUAUGUGUGUGUCAUUGAAUUACAAUAUUAUUAUUAAUGGGUAUUAAUUUACAAUCUUCCUAGAAAAAGUAUUAAAAAAAAAUUGUAUUAUUAUUUAUAAAGCACCAAGAAAUUUCGCAACACUGUUUGGUAGGUGGACUAACAGACAAGUAGUUGCAACAAGACGAGUUGGUUGCACAGGAAUAGCAAGUGUCAAAGAGGAGAUUUAUGUUGGUUGGGUGUUAAUACGGUUCAGAGUUUGUAACGGUUAGGGCAUUGAAUGAGGCGGAAAGCUUCUAGAUCAGGGGUGGGCAAAUUAUAGAUCCACCGAUGAUGUAGAACUGCAGUGUCCAUGAUGCUGUGACAUUCUAAAGGAUGACAAAGAAUCAAGACACAUAUAGCUCUAAAACAUCUGGAGAGCUACCUUUUGUCCAGCCCAUUUCUAGAUCGUUGCUUUAUUUUUUCUUCCUUCUUAUUUCAGGCAUACUAAACUUUAAUGUAGAUUGCUGUAUGUUUUUUGCUGCAUGCAAUAAGAACAGUUAUAUUCUGCCUUGCUUAUACAAAAGCUCAGGGCAUUAUUCACUAAUUUAGAAACUGUGGAAAAUUCACAAGUGAGUAAUUAUUUUUGGUUUGUGUACACUAGUUUGUCAACUCCUAAUACAUAGACAGAUAAAAGAAUGCUAGCUCUAGUGGUACUGACUGGCAAUUGCGCUCACUUUCCACAGUGUAUAAAACACAUUAUCCACAUUAAGACGAUUAAAAUACUCAUCUCCUCAACUCCUAUGUAUACAGUUUUAAAGUGGUCUCAAUUGUUUGUAUCGCACAAAGGUACUGUUAACGAUGAUCUCCCCUUAAUGAUGAUCAUCAUUACACACUAUACACUGUUACACACUAUACAAGAGCCUAUAAGACUCAAUAAUACAGUGCCACCUUUUAGCAACCUUGAUUUUAGUGUGUACCCACAUUUCAAUCAUAUAAGCAGAAUUAGAUGUGUUAUAUGUAUCCAACUCAUUAAAUUAAAUGUCUAGGAAGUGAUUAAAUACAAGACCUACACGAUGGUAGAUUUUCUAGUAAGUAUACAAUAAGUACUUAUCUUUAAUAUUUGUGUUUCCCGGAUAAGCUAGAGAAAAAACUUGAGUUUAGAGUGGAGUGUACUUUCCUACAUCAGAUUACCAAAAGCCCGGACCAGUUGUUGUGUAGCCUGUUUAAUAAAAAUCACGGAAGUGCCAGUAACAUUCAUAGCAUACUGAAGCAGCACAGAAGGUUACAGAAAGCAUUGCAAUAAUUGAAAAACACACCUGUUAAACGUCAUUGACACCUAAUAUAAAAUCACUUCUAAAGCCGGCUUGCGUAAAAUAAGCAUCGCAUUUGCAGGAUUUCCAUUUCAGCAAUACAGGUCACAAAGGACUUUGAGCGUUUUGUUAAGGAACCUUUGAAGAACAUAUGAAAAUAAAUUAAAAACCUUGAUAGGUGCCAUAAAUAAUAUUGAAUCUAGGGAAAAAGUGCUAUAAAUACAAUAGAGAUUAAAUAAACAAAACAUUUUAUUUUACAUCAAAAUGCUUUUCAGCUUUGUUAUGUAACAGGUUUAUGGUUUCAGAAUGUUCCCAAACUGUCCGAAUGUCCCCAUUCACAUAAUGUUUGGUGUCACAGGUGCCCUUGGACUACUCUUGCC
rnacentral:lncRNA from 1 species